rnacentral:rRNA from 1 species
UGAUCCUGGCUCAGGACGAACGCUGGCGGCGUGCUUAACACAUGCAAGUCGAACGGGAUCUGCGUGGCCUUUGUGGUUGUGUGGUGAGAGUGGCGAACGGGUGAGUAACACGUGAGUAACCUGCCUUUUUCUUUGGGAUAACGCUCAGAAAUGGGUGCUAAUACUGGAUGUUCUGCGCUUUCCGCAUGGGGGGUGUGGGAAAGGGGCCUUUGUGGUUUCUGGAGGGAGAUGGGCUCGCGGCUUAUCAGCUUGUUGGUGGGGUGAUGGCUUACCAAGGCUUUGACGGGUAGCCGGCCUGAGAGGGUGGGCGGUCACAUUGGGACUGAGAUACGGCCCAGACUCCUACGGGAGGCAGCAGUGGGGAAUUUUGCACAAUGGGGGGAACCUUGAUGCAGCGACGCCGCGUGAGGGAUGGAGGCCUUCGGGUUGUGAACCUCUUUCGCUCGUGUGCAAGCCGCUAUUUGGGUAGUGGUGAGUGUAGCGGGUAAAGAAGCGCCGGCUAACUACGUGCCAGCAGCCGCGGUAAUACGUAGGGCGCGAGCGUUGUCCGGAUUUAUUGGGCGUAAAGGGCUUGUAGGCGGUUUGUCGCGCCUGUCGUGUAAUCCUCUGGCUUAACUGGGGGUGUGCGGUGGGUACGGGCAGGCUUGAGUGCGGUAGGGGAGAUUGGAAUUCCUGGUGUAGCGGUGGAAUGCGCAGAUAUCAGGAGGAACACCGGUGGCGAAGGCGGGUCUCUGGGCCGUUACUGACGCUGAGGAGCGAAAGCGUGGGGAGCGAACAGGAUUAGAUACCCUGGUAGUCCAUGCUGUAAACGUUGGGCACUAGGUGUGGGGGCCGCCCUUGGUUUCUGCGCCGUAGCUAACGCUUUAAGUGCCCCGCCUGGGGAGUACGGCCGCAAGGCUAAAACUCAAAGGAAUUGACGGGGGCCCGCACAAGCGGCGGAGCAUGCGGAUUAAUUCGAUGCAACGCGAAGAACCUUACCAAGGCUUGACAUGCGCCCUGAGCGCCUAGAGAUAGGUGUGCAUUUGGUUGGGGGUGUGCAGGUGGUGCAUGGUUGUCGUCAGCUCGUGUCGUGAGAUGUUGGGUUAA